CCUACGGGGGGCAGCAGUGAGGAAUAUUGGUCAAUGGACGGGAGUCUGAACCAGCCAAGCCGCGUGAAGGAGGAAGGCACUAUGUGUUGUAAACUUCUUUUGUAUGGGAAUAAAGACUGCCACGUGUGGCAGUUUGAAUGUACCAUAAGAAUAAGGAUCGGCUAACUCCGUGCCAGCAGCCGCGGUAAUACGGAGGAUCCGAGCGUUAUCCGGAUUUAUUGGGUUUAAAGGGUGCGUAGGUGGUCUGUUAAGUCAGUUGUGAAAGUCCGAGGCUCAACCGUGAAAUUGCAGUUGAUACUGUCAGUCUAGAGUGGAGUAGAGGUAGGCGGAAUGCGCGGUGUAGCGGUGAAAUGCUUAGAUAUCACGCAGAACUCCGAUUGCGAAGGCAGCUCACCGGACUCCAACUGACGCUGAGGCACGAAAGUGUGGGUAUCAAACAGGAUUAGAUACCCGAGUAGUC
rnacentral:rRNA from 1 species